rnacentral:rRNA from 1 species
GACGAACGCUGGCGGCGUGCCUAAUACAUGCAAGUCGAACGCAGUGGGGACGGGUGAGUAACACGUGGGUAACCUCCCAUCAGAGGGGAUAACACUUGGAAACAGGUGCUAAACCGAUACUGAUGGAUGGACCCGCGGUGCAUUAGCUAGUUGGUGAGGUAACGGCUCACCAAGGCCACGAUGCAUAGACUACUGGCGCUGGGGAUCAGCCACACUCGGACUGAGACCCUGCCCAGGCUCCUACGGUAGGCAGCAUUAGGGAAUGUUCGGCAAUGGGCGGAAGUCUGACCGAGCCACGCCGCGUGAGUGAAGAAGGUUUUCGGAUCGUAAAACUCUGUUGUUAGAGAAGCGGUAUCUAACCAGAAAGCCACGGCUAACUACGUGCCAGCAGCCGCGGUAAUUC